rnacentral:rRNA from 1 species
UACGGAGGGAGCUAGCGUUGUUCGGAAUUACUGGGCGUAAAGCGCACGUAGGCGGCUUUGUAAGUUAGAGGUGAAAGCCCAGGGCUCAACUCCGGAAUUGCCUUUAAGACUGCAUCGCUAGAAUUGUGGAGAGGUAAGUGGAAUUCCGAGUGUAGAGGUGAAAUUCGUAGAUAUUCGGAAGAACACCAGUGGCGAAGGCGACUUACUGGACACAUAUUGACGCUGAGGUGCGAAAGCGUGGGGAGCAAACAGG